rnacentral:rRNA from 1 species
UUUAUUAAAAACAUGGCUUUUUGAAAAUAAUUUAAAGUCUAACCUGCCCAAUGAAAGUUUAAAUGGCCGCAGUAUACUGACUGUGCAAAGGUAGCAUAAUCAUUUGUUUCUUAAUUAGAAGCUUGUAUGAAAGGUUGAAUGAAAAAAUAUCUGUCUCUAUUUAAAUUUAUUAGAAUUUUAUUUUUAAGUUAAAAAGCUUAAAUAAUAAUAGAAGACGAGAAGACCCUAUAGAGUUUUAUAUUUAAAUUAUAUAUAUAGAUUUAUAGAAUUAUUUAUUUAUAUUUAUUUUAAAUAUUUAGUUGGGGUGAUUGAAAAAUUUAAUAAACUUUUUUUAUAUAUAUACAUUAAUAUAUGGAUAAAUAAUCCUUUAUUAAAGAAAAAAGAUAAAAUUACCUUAGGGAUAACAGCGUAAUUUUUUUAGAGAGUUCAAAUUGAAAAAAAAGAUUGCGACCUCGAUGUUGGAUUAAAAUAAAAAUUUGGUGUAGAAGCUAAUAUUUUAGGUCUGUUCGACCUUUAAAAUUUUACAUGAUCUGAGUUUA